GGAGAGGUGACCGAGCGGACGAAGGUGCACGACUGGAAAUCGUGUGAGGGGUCAUAAGCUCCUCCCAGGGUUCGAAUCCCUGCCUCUCCG
rnacentral:tRNA from 1 species